AGCAGGGACUGGUUUGAAACUG
rnacentral:miRNA from 1 species